rnacentral:rRNA from 1 species
GAUGAACGCUAGCUACAGGCUUAACACAUGCAAGUCGAGGGGAAACGAUAUUGGAAGCUUGCUUCCGAUAGGCGUCGACCGGCGCACGGGUGAGUAACGCGUAUCCAACCUGCCCACCACUUGGGGAUAACCUUGCGAAAGUAAGACUAAUACCCAAUGAUAUCUCUAGAAGACAUCUGAAAGAGAUUAAAGAUUUAUCGGUGAUGGAUGGGGAUGCGUCUGAUUAGCUUGUUGGCGGGGUAACGGCCCACCAAGGCAACGAUCAGUAGGGGUUCUGAGAGGAAGGUCCCCCACAUUGGAGCUGAGACACGGUCCAAACUCCUACGGGAGGCAGCAGUGAGGAAUAUUGGUCAAUGGGCGAGAGCCUGAACCAGCCAAGUAGCGUGCAGGACGACGGCCCUAUGGGUUGUAAACUGCUUUUAUAAGGGAUAAAGUGAGUCUCGUGAGACUUUUUGCAUGUACCUUAUGAAUAAGGACCGGCUAAUUCCGUGCCAGCAG